GACGAACGCUGGGGCGUGCUUAACACAUGCAAGUCGAACGAUGAAGCUAGAGCUUGCUCUGGUGAAUUAGUGGCGAACGGGUGAGUAACACGUGAGUAACCUGCCCCGAACUCUGGGAUAACUGCUGGAAACGGUAGCUAAUACUGGAUACGACCUACGAAGGCAUCUUCUGUAGGUGGAAAGAAUUUCGGUUCGGGAUGGACUCGCGGCCUAUCAGCUUGUUGGUGAGGUAAUGGCUCACCAAGGCGACGACGGGUAGCCGGCCUGAGAGGGUGACCGGCCACACUGGGACUGGGAUACGGCCCAGACUCCUACGGGAGGCAGCAGUGGGGAAUAUUGCACAAUGGGCGCAAGCCUGAUGCAGCGACGCCGCGUGAGGGAUGACGGCCUUCGGGUUGUAAACCUCUUUCAGCACCGACGAAGCGCAAGUGACGGUAGGUGCAGAAGAAGGACCGGCCAACUACGUGCCAGCCGCCGCAGUAA
rnacentral:rRNA from 1 species